UGGGAAAGUUGCAAGGCACUCUGGUCGGGCUGCUGGAGGUAGUAGCUCUUGGGGACUGCCAGCACCAAAGCUGGAGUUCAACUUUGCUGUCCACUGCAUCCAUGUUAAUGAUUUUAAUGCAUAGUCACACUGUUGCUUAGGCCAGAGGAAUCAUAUUGUGAACAGAGUAAGUAUUCCUAAAAAAACAAAAACAUGUUUAAAAAUAAUAUAUUCAUUCAAACAAACAAAAAAGUGGAUAGAGUGCUUCAUCAGUCUUGAAAGUAUUUUUUAAUGUCUAAUUUUAAAACAAAUGCUGUGAUAUCCAACUUUAGGGUAUCGAUAAAUAUUUGUCUCAUGUCAGAAGUGAAAGGCAUUUGUUAGGAAUAUGGUAAUUUAUGAGAAAUGUGGUCAUGGGCAGAGUCCAACCUCUUGUAGCUCAAUUUUCAUAAAGCCAGGGAAUGUGGCAGUUAGCUGGUUGGCAUAGACAGGUGAAGUAAAACACAUCUCUCUGCCAUAGCAGUGAAGAGCAUUCCUUAUGGGAACAUUCUUAAUGGGAAACAUUUGCCAUGUCAAUGCCUUUGCUAUAUCUCUUUUUUGAAAAAGCACACUGCUGUGUCUCCUUUCACGAGUGGCUUAUUCACUGAAUACUGAAAAAACUCUCCCUUCAAGCAUGCUCCAUGUGCUUGGCAGGUGCUGAUCACACAUGGUGUAGGAAGCUGGCUUUGGAAGUGAUGAAAAUCCUCUUUCUCACAGAGAUAAUGUAGCUCAUGUUUCUCUGUUUCUUUAUUUCUUAGCCAAAUCCUCUUCCUUAAAAACUGUUCUGAUCUGUUUUUGCCAAACACAAGAUGGCAGAGCACCAUUUAGCACAACACCAUGUAGGCUUUUUGUCACCAAGAAGGAGUAUAUUUCACAAAUUGAAGCCUACAGAUUCUUUAUGUAGCAAAAGAAUAUUUUAAAUGAGGAGAGCAGAACAUUCUAGACAUCUUGAGUUCAGCAAUUAGGUCAAAAUAAAUUCACAGUUUAGUGGACAUAGCAAACUGUUGAGUGGAACUGUGUUUAAGGAAGAAACGAUUUCCUUAAAUAAGACAUUGGGAUGAUACAAGGAAGAGGCAGAAAAGAAAUGCUAAAUGAAUCAUGGUCUUCAAAUGGAGAAGUGGCCGUUUCUCUUCUCUUCUGCCUGAGGUACCCUUCAAAAUUAGCAGAGAUGAUGUCUCUGCGGUUUUCUUUCAAAGUGUUUUAGAUACAUAGAACUGUAUCCAUUUUCCCACGGGUCUUCAGUGGAUUUUACCAUUAUUGCCUAUAAUUUUCAAACUAAUUGCUGGAAAUUCUCAAGACUGCUGGGUCUGCUAGGUAAGCAACGUUUUUCACAUGACUUCUCUGGGUUCCUUGAACACAGGAAAGUAAGGAAAUUCCCCUUUGUGUAGCUGUCAUUGAGUCAUUUAACGUUGAAUACUGCAUUUCCUUUAAAGGAAGGAGAAAAGGGGGAGUCACCUACUCAUCAUCACUGAGUGUUAGAACAUUCUCAACCCAUUUGUGGAUAGUAUGCUGUAAGAAGAAAGCUAGGAUUUUCAGUGAGGUGAAAGAGGAGGCCCAGUCCUCUCACUGACAGCGAAGCCUACAGAGAAACUGCUCUGACUGCAAGAACCCCCCUGGCUGCUCCUAAUGCAGCACAAUGGUAGUCAAUGUAAUAUACAAUCAAAGCCCAAAAGUUACAGCCUCACUUAAUUCAUCUACUUCCUGCUGCUCUAAUUUGGCUGCACACAUCUUGAAGGAGAAAAGAGAUCCACUAUGUCCUGUGAGCUGCACAUCCCUAGAAAUGUAAAGCAUUCUUUCCUUUAGCUCAACAGCCUCCUUGGGUCUGUCUGAGUGGGGAUGAGUCAGAUACAAACAGUACAGCGUGGCUAGGGGAAGUCUCCUGAAACAAAGGUAACACUGACAGUGGCUACAGUCAAAUUCCUCAGUACCACAACGGUUUCUCACCUGUGACUCAUGCUGGCCAUUUUGCCAGGACUGUGUGUCUACUUCAUUCAGCCCCAGAUGGGAACACCUCCCACACACCUCCUGGGCUUGAAAAUAAAACAUACAAUGUGACCUAAUGCUUGACACCCAGCACAGAUUAACCUUAAGAAAUGAUAUCAUUAAAACGAUGUGCUACUGCAGGUCGUUGUGAAAGGUUUAUAUCAGACAGCUAAGUCCAGUUAUGUUUUCAUGUAGCCUGGGUUCUGGAUACUGAUUAGAGUUAAAUGCCAAAACAAAAUAAAAUGCAUUUUGGAUAUAAACAUUAAAAACAAAACUGCUUGAAGAGUUGAAAGUAAAGUGGGAGUGUACGCAGUCUCAGGAGAUAAGACAGAGAUACAAGAAGAGCCUUUCCUCUCAUUAGAACCAAACGUUAAAGUGUCUCCUCUGUUCAAGAAAAUCCACAGAAAUGAGAAAUGUCAUUUAUGAAUAAUUAUCUCUCUUUCUGGGUUCCUACUCAUUUUACCGAACCAUCUGUAAAACAGGCUCCACCUUCAUCAGAGCAAAGGCAAAAGAAAAUUUACUUUUGACAAGCUGACAAACUGUCAGGAGGGGUUCUCAGCAGGAUCUCUAGAAAACUGAUUAAAAAGAAGACAGUCUUCUUUUCAAGAUGUUAUGAAAUCAGGUUUUCUAAUGGUAUCCCAUGGCUUUUUUGUAUUCUCCAUUAAUCUGGAAGGGCAAAUGUUCAAAGGAUCUUGCCGUGAAAACACUUUCUAUAGAAUAAUGAAAACUUCUACUUCCAUCUUGAAAGCAACAUGAAUGCUGGCCUGCUACACAUUAAAACAGCAGACAACAAAUGAAGUUACCAUGCAAGUUCUGGGAAAGGGAAAUGUAAACUCAUACUCGUUUCUCCCUUGUCUCUUUUGAUGUCAUACAUACAUUCAUCAAAGAAAUGCAGAAACAAAAUUUAGCAGAGGAUAAUGAGUCUGAGGAAAAGUUUCAGAAUGUCCUGGCUUUCCUUUCAACAAACACCAAAUCAACAACACGUCAUUAGCUCAUGAGAGACCCCAUCCAAAAUCAGUGAAAUCAGUGGGAAAGCUCCCAGUUGGCUAGAGCAGGCUCUUUAAAAUCAACUAAAGCACAAUUACAGAUGUUUGGUUUUUUUUUUUCUUUCUUUCUUUCUUUUUUUUUUUAAAUGAAAAAUAGCUUUUUAACAACAGUGAAAUUCUCAUGGGGCCAUUUGUUUUCGUUUACCUACUUUUCUCUCCUUGGUGAAGCAAACUGGAAAUAAAUAAAUAGCAUGUUUUUCAUCUCACUCAUUCCCCAAAACUUUUAAACUUACUUUCUGUCUUUUUCACUGGGGAAAAAAAAAAAAAAAAAAAAAAAAAAAACACCAAAGAUAUGAGAGGCAGCAUUAAGAGGGUAAAAGGCUCAAGAAGGCAUUGCACAUUGCAGUGGUAACACAAUGGAACAGGCCCAUCUGGAAUACUAUAGGGAUGAAUUAAUCCAGAGGCCAGCAGCUUGGCCAGUUCUUUCACUUUCUUGGUUGUCCCAACAAAUAACUUCUUUUUCCUUUGUCUUUUUUGAUGUUGCACACACUGAUUAAAGAAACACAAAAAUGAUACUGCAUGGAAUCUAAGAAAAAUUUUCAGAGUCUUAAAGUAUGCUGGCAGAACCGAUAAAUUUCAAAUAAAUGCUGAAUAGAAACAGAAAACAUAAUCUGUUUCUUGGACAGUUCAGGGUAUAUGGGGACCACAUAUAGUCUGCAUGAUCAUCUGUAGAGUUCUCCUUCAUGAUUCUUCCCUCAUCUGUCCAUUCAUUUUUCUGAAGAAUGUUAAAAUACAGCAAAUCUCCAUGUUCAACCAUAACACCUGAAAGAUCACCUUGAUGAGCUUCUACAUAACAAAAAAAGGAAAGGACCAUCAAAAGGCAUUUUAAUUUUUGCUUUUGUUUUUCACCAUUUAAAUCUAUUUUAACUGAAAUACAUUCAUUUUCCCCAUUUCAAGUCUGUAUUGUCCACGAUAUUUUGAAGUAAUCUCCUUGUCAUUAUCUCAACUCACAACAUUUCCAUCCUAUUUUCUCUCAUUCUGCUGAGACCAAGGAGCAGCUGAGUAAGUGUUGAACUGCUGGCCAGAAUCAACCCACCACAAUUCUGUCCUGUUGCUACUGAUUAUCAUUUAGGUUGCACUGAUGUCUCAGAUCUUCAGGUAAACUGAGUGCAUAUACAAAAGUUAUUUCAGUCAUACAGCUCUCUUCUCAGUCUCUGCCAGACAUUAAAAAGCAAUUAAUAGUAAGAAUAUAUCUUAAUAAAUGCAUUAGUAACAUCAUUAUUUCCCUUCUUUUUGAUUCCUAUGGAGUUGCACAUAUUUCCCACUAUUCUGCCCUUCCCUCAAUAACAGACCUCAGCCUUAUGUUUAGCAUUACUGAAGUCUGGAUUAACAGUCCGUCUGCUUUAUAUUUUUUUCCCUUCAAAUGUGUUUUAAUUAGCAAAAUCUUUAAGCCUUGAGAAGAGAUUUACUGCGUGUCAGCACACAAAUUGAUGUUACUUAGGUCCAUAACACUUUCUCUGUUUUUUCCAUAGCCAUAAUUUUCUGCAUUCAAGUAUUUUUUUUUUAUUUUUCUAACUACUGCUGCACACAUUUUCUUGGCUCUCUGCUGUCAGGCCUCAGUAACAGAGCUCCUGAACAGAGAUGAGUGCUGGGAAACUGUAAGUCUGCAGUGUUAUAACCAAGGAAAACAGGUUAAGUAGAAUAGGCAGAUUCUAUGCUACUUUAUUACAUUCAAGAUGCUACUCUUCCAAUUUGCAGUGUUUAUAAGUUUACUUAGCAGAGUAAGUCUCACUGUAAGAAAUGAGAGCUUGACUUAGAACCUCAUACCUUGACCUUAGUAAACCAAGUAAGAAACAUCCUCCUGGUUAUUCAUGUUGGAAGGUCAAAAGUGACUGUACUUAAUGGCAGGCAUAUCACCCACUUGUUAUGGCCUGCAUAAAUUAGUCUAUUUCAACUGCACCAGCUCCUACCAUUAUGUAGACUCAAAAUGUACACAGAGGUUCAAAUAACAAUCAGAUACAGAACAAAUCUUAGUUUGAUUUGCGUCUUUCUACCCAGUACUGUCAUACACCAUACACAAGUUCCACAUCUGCACUCAUCUUUUCUUUUGGUAACAAAUCAUCAGGACAGUUACCCAGCUAACUCCUGUUUAUUGCAUCCUUCAACUCUUGCGUCUGUCACUCUUUCAUUUCUUCUCCCCAUUAGCACUCUUUCUCUAACGAUCCCUAAUUUAAUUUGGGGUGAAAUAACACUCCAUCCAAACUAACACAGAGCUACUGGCUGGCACAAGGUUUCUGUCAUCUCUUAAAGUGAGUAUUGGAGCUUAGGACACAGAGAUCUUGAGCUGGAAUGGAUCUAUGGAUCGUAUACUGGUGUUAACUACAAUUCCCUGCAGUUAUUCAACAUUGUAGCAUCAUGUUUCCUGAAUAAUGCCACUUGAAAAAGACAUAAAAUCCAUUAUACUUUCCACUUAUAGAGAAAUAUGUGGAAAAAUAUGUUUGUUUUGAAUAUGCCGGAACUCUGUGAACUCUGUUUUUCUCUAAAUACAUUCAGAGGUCCAUAACCACAUCUGAAAUUAUUUUCUGUCAUCCCUUCAUGUUUCCUACAAAAAUCCAGUAUACUACUUAACUUUCUAGAAUGAGGCCUGAUAGUUUCAAUUACUUGCUUCAAGAAGAUGCCUUUUCAACCACAACCUCUUACUUAAGGGGCAGUUGCUUGAGUCACAUUACUCAUCAAGAGCCAGACUUCUCAAUUAUUGAAACUUUCUAAAUGUGUCUCAAAAGGAAGAGAAGAACAGACUGCAUAUACAAAACAGCAUUUCAUAGAAAGAAUUACUUUGGGCACACAGGCUAUCACUGAAAGGAUGGAAGUCUUGUGAGUAAUAUGUCUGUACUGGAUUGGUUUGUUUGUUUGUUUCAUUGACUGCUGCGGCCAAAGCUGCACAAGAUCUACUAUUAUGUAUUGCCAACAUUCCCAACAAAGGUAAGCAUUAAUAGAUGUUUCACCAUGACUACAUGCAACACCUAAAGUCUGUAGAAAGGAUCUCAAGGACAAGAAUUUGGAUGAGGUUAUUGUUUUCUGUUGUUUCAUUUAAUGAAAAUGUAAGCAGGAGGCCUUGCAGAUGGCUGUACAAAAUAAGAUUUUGUGGUGGGUUUUUUUUGGUUUCUUUGUUUUUUGUUUUUUUUUUCUAAGUAAGCUAUCAUUUUUGAAAGCAACAGUUACUGAGAGAUUGGAAUAGUGCUGUGGUACACGAUAUAAACCAAAUCUGUAAGGCAGGCAUGGAUUUAUAUUACUUAGCCCAUGUCAAAUCAUGAAUUUUAAAUACCUUCUGCAAAACUGAGCUCUUUGAGUUCUUCUUCAGAGCUUGCUGGUGAGGUGGUAAUAAAGGAAGUAAAACUCUCUUCCCUAUCUGUAGCCUAACUAAGGGAAUCCAUGAAUAAAGGUGGUUUUGUCUACUCAAAUAUAUAAUCUCUGUAGACCCAUCAUAGACUUCACAUUAGUUGAAGAACCCCAAAAGCAGACAUCCUCACUGACUAUUUCCAAAAUUCAAGGUGUUUUCAUUACACCAAACUGUGUCCCACAGGAGCAGGUAGGCCUCUUCCCAUGCAGGUACCUUAAAGCAGCUCACCCUUAUGAACAAGGACAUUAAGCAGCUACAAUAAGAGGGCCCCCCUCCCAAGUGUGGAAACAAUGUUGGAGAACUGCCAAUAAUUGAUUGCUUUUAACACCGCAACGCAAACUUUAAACAUUUUAAUUAAAAUUUUACAUUUUCCUUCCUUUUCUGAAAUAUGAAAUUUAUAAAAGUAUAUCAAAAUUUUACUUUGUAUCAAAGUACUGCCAAAGUUCUGAAAAGGAAGUCCCGUCUAGACAUUUUUAGACAUAUCUAUGCUUCAUUAAUCUGCAAAAAAAGAUUUAGGUCUCGUUGUGGUAAAAGCAGUUUGGUUGAUACAGGUAGUGGUCUGUCCUGCUUCUCUUGCACAUCCUGUUCUCUGAACUGAAGACGAAUGAAGCAAAAACUGUUAUAAAAAGUUUUGUUUUUUUUUUUUUUUUUUUUUUUUUUGUGGUAGGAAGUACACUGCUAGCUGAAGAGAGGCACAACAAACUGCACAUCAGAAUUCCAGAUUAAGGAGUGUCUGGCGCUCUAGCAGUGAAGCACUAUGUAACGUCGUAUUUGGCUUGAGGAAGAAAAUACUACAGAUAGAAGCUGAUCUGAAGGUAAAGAUAUUCCUGUAUCUUCUAUGUGCACUACAAAUAUAACAGCAUAGCAAGAGUUACAUUGGGGCAGGUUAACAAUACAUCCCAAUACUGCAAGUGAACUGUUACUUUGUGGUCAUGGAGAAAAAGAAAAGGAACACCUGGAAUAUCUGUCAAGAUCUCAAGUUACUCCCAUCUUUCACUGUCCCUCCUUCUGUAUCUGUCACUUUACUCAAAGUGAAAUUGCUUUUAACUAAAUAAUACUGUCUUUGUCCUGCAUCUUUGGUAUGAAAUGUAAUAAAAGGAGGCUAUAGAACUCCAUAAAAGUUUUGGUGUUUCUUUUUUGUUUGUUUGUUUUUGUUUUGUUUUUAAACUUCCACUUCAAGUUUUCUGAAUAUUCUAUAUAUUGACACAUAUUAUGAAGGAUAAUAGGUGUGAAAGCAGCUCUGUAGUUUACAAAUAUGGAAUGUCACUUAUAUUUUUCAGACUGAAUGAAAAAUGCUCCAUGUUGCUCAUCAACAACAGAUUGAUGAUGAUGGAAUGACAGCUCCACAGAUCAACUGCAGUGAAUGAGCUCCCAUUUAGUGUAAUGGAUGAGCACCACCAAAGAGGGUACUGCAGGGGCCUCAGACUGCAGAUCCACAAAGCAGUCAGCAGAGCUGAAAACUUUCUAUUGAUCUUUGCAGUCCAUGAGGAAUGAUCAGCAGGAGCUCUUUCUUAGUAACUGUAUGCUGGGGAUAAACACCGCUGCACAUAGACAGGUCCCCAACAGAAGAGAAACUUGUCUGGCUUCUUCAGGAGAAGCCUUCCUGGAGACAUGCCAGCAAACUCCAUCCCAGAUUCUCUGAUCCACUAUAAACACUUAAGAACAUGCUUAACUUUAAACAUAUGAGUUGUCCUAUAGACAUCAAUAGUGUUGCUAAUGUGCCUGAAGUUAAAUAUGCAUCAAGUGCUGUGCUGGAAUAGGGCCAAGGGCUCAGAAACUUGCAGGAUCAAGGUUUGGCUGGAGAACAGAGAGUAAGAAGGAAGACAAAAGAUGAGAGAUACUGAGUUACUCUCAUGCCCUCUUGCGUCAGUCCACAGUGGAAGCAAGCACUGGGAUAAACCCCCUAUUACAAUAAAAGUUAAAGGAACACCUGUACAGAAAACUGAAACACUAAAAGAUACUGUAAACACUCUUUUUUACAGCAUACAGUGUCUUCAGAUUGUUAUAUGGUACUACAUUUUAAAGCAGAUACAGUGAUGUCACUGCAGGAAAACA
ensembl:lncRNA